rnacentral:rRNA from 1 species
AAUAGAUACCCGGGUAGUCCACGCCGUAAACGAUGAGUGCUAAGUGUUAGGGGGUUUCCGCCCCUUAGUGGCUGCAGCUAACGCAUUAAGCACUCCGCCUGGGGAAUACGGUCGCAAGACUGAAACUCAAAGGAAUUGACGGGGGCCCGCACAAGCGGUGGAGCAUGUGGUUUAAUUCGAAGCAACGCGAAGAACCUUACCAGGUCUUGACAUCCCACUGACCGCUAUGGAGACAUAGUUUUCCCUUCGGGGACAGUGGUGACAGGUGGUGCAUGGUUGUCGUCAGCUCGUGUCGUGAGAUGUUGGGUUAAGUCCCGCAACGAGCGCAACCCUUGAUCUUAGUUGCCAUCAUUUAGUUGGGCACUCUAAGGUGACUGCCGGUGACAAACCGGAGGAAGGUGGGGAUGACGUCAAAUCAUCAUGCCCCUUAUGACCUGGGCUACACACGUGCUACAAUGGACGGUACAAACGGUUGCCAACCCGCGAGGGGGAGCUAAUCCGAUAAAACCGUUCUCAGUUCGGAUUGUAGGCUGCAACUCGCCUAC